rnacentral:rRNA from 1 species
CCCUUAGAUGUUCUGGGCCGCACGCGCGCUACACUGGUACGUUCAACAAGUUUACAACCUUGACCGAAAGGUCUGGGUAAUCUUUUGAAUGCGUACCGUGCUAGGGAUAGAUUAUUGCAAAUAUUAAUCUUGAACGAGGAAUUCCUAGUAAGCGCAAGUCAACAGCUUGCGUUGAUUACGUCCCUGCCCUUUGUACACACCGCCCGUCGCUACUACUGAUUGGAUGUUUAAGCGAGGUUCUCGAACUGCUAGCGACUUAGCUUCGGUGAGGUCGCAGUGUGGGAAGUGAACCUAGCUUUGGUGUCUAGAGGAAGUAAAAGUCGUAACA